UAUAAGGGUUUUUCAAAAUCAACAAAAAUAUAGAAAGCACAUCUCUAAUGUGUUCUAAACUAGACUUUUAAGAAGAUUUCCCCUUGUGGUGGUUUUAUAUGUGUGUGUGUGUGUGUGUGUGUGUGUGUGUGUGUGUGUGUGUGUGUGUGUGUGUGUGUGUGUGUGUGUGUGUGUGUGUGUGUGUGUAAAAAUCAGUAAGAGUGUUUGUGUAAUCCCUAAGGAGUUUUCUGAUAAGAACAGAGUUUUUAAUCCAGCGUUCAUCCAGCUGUUGGACAAAAUAUCUGUCACCACAGCCACUUGGUAAUCCUUCACUGCUCAUACUCUUCCAUCGAUCAAAUUCAGCACAUUUAAACAUCAUAAACAAAUACAUCUAUCCUGGUCCAUCCCCACACCUCCCCGAUCCAUCACCUCUCAGACACUUUCACUACAGCUAUAGAAAUGAGCUGGAUAAUUAGACUUUUAAUUAUUGAAUUAAUGAUUCACAACUGAUAUUUAUGAGCUAAUCACAAAGGUUUGCACUUGAAUCGUUGCAUCAGCAGCCUCAAUACGGGGCGAUGCCACUUGCCGCAAUGAUAUAAUGAAUUCCUCCCCUCUAAAAAUCAAUAUGGAGAUUCGUUUUUGUUCCUAGUGGGGCUGAGCGGAUGAUAGAUCCAGAAAGGUCCAUCAAAAAGAGAGUGUAUGAGAGCUAUUUUGUAGCCUCUUUAUCCACAAAAGUAAUAAGAAUAAUAGCACCCAUUGUUUGAUUGGCUCUUUUGUUUAAUUGACAGAAAGAUAUGGUAAUGGCCUUACAACGGCAAGGAACCUGUGGUUUUGUAAGUUUAUAUGUAAGUUAAUCAAUUCCUUUUUGUCUUUUGAGUAAGUGUGUGUACCUAAUAACAGUGUAAUGGCAGUAUAAUAACAUCCUUUCGAAGCUUAAUGAGGGACUGGGUCAGUGGGGCUUGGGGGACCACGGAAGACAUGUUUGGUGUCACAUCAUAAGUGAACGCCUAGGGAAACGAUUAAAGUAAAGCAGCGGACACUGCUGAAAAUCUUACUGCAGCGGUAGGGAUGCUGGUGGGCCUUGAGCGAGAAUUUUUGAAGCUUGAUAUUCAGCUGGUGAAUGUAGGUCAAGAGAUUAAUCUCCAUUUAGCCACCUUGAGCUGUUUUUCCACACUUUAAGACUGAACAAAACACUCUCUGGGAUAUGUCCCUCUCCUCUUGCUUGAAAUCGCACCAACGUAGAUAUGCACAUACAGAUUUACCGGAUAUGAUUGUAAACCAGUCAUAUGAUUUUUACUGGAAAGUCUGUGACAUUUAGAUAUAAUAUUUGUAAGGAUAAUAGGUGUUUUUAGGGAAUCUGUACAGCACAAUCUCUGUAAUCCAUUUCCCGGAAGAAUUACUCUCGAUGAGCUUACAAUGAAUUGUUCAAGGCCCAUUCACACUAAUAACUAUAACAAUAAAUGUUUUUGCAUCCACCAAUGCACAAUGACAUUCUGUUAUUAUCAGUAUGCAUUGCAGUUUUGUUGUGUACCACCUUAAAGUGCUUAAGUUCUUUAAAUUCAGGUGGAUUCUGAUUGGCUGUUUAAUACUUGUAUGUGUUUGAAAGUGAUUCCAAUAUAGUUAUGGUGCUGGCUCUGCUAUUCUUUUGAAUUGACAACAAUUUUUUUGAAAAUGUUAUUGUUACUGUUACCAUGUAAAUCAGUGUAAUUACUCACAACUUUCAAGGAUUGAAAGCUGCAGUGAAAAAUUAUGUAUCGUUGAACAUUUAAAUUAUAUGUAAUUUGACUGCCAAACAAUGAUACAUCUGUUUUGAAAGUAAAAACUAUGAAUUACCAUAUAAUUUAAGGUGUAUAUAGAUAGAUAGAUAGAUCUUUUUUUUUUCAUGUUUGUCACACUUUAAUGUUUCAGAUCAUCAAACAAAUUUAAAUAUUAGUCAAAGAUAACACAAGUAAACACAACAUGCAGUGCAAUGCAACAUGCUAUAAAGCCAUUUCUAAAGCUUUGGGUCUCCAGCGAACCACAGUGAGAGACAUUAUUCACAAAUGG
ensembl:lncRNA